UCCCACUGGGCCGUGCCGGAUCCUUUUG
rnacentral:piRNA from 1 species